AGACCACCAGCUAAGGUCCCAAAAUAUAUGUUAAGUGGAAAAGGAUGUGGCGUUGCCCAGACAACUAGGAUGUUGGCUUAGAAGCAGCCAUCAUUUAAAGAGUGCGUAAUAGCUCACUAGUCGAGUGACACUGCGCCGAAAAUGUACCGGGGCUAAACAUAUUACCGAAGCUGUGGAUUGUCCUUUGGACAAUGGUAGGAGAGCGUUCUAAGGGCGUUGAAGCAUGAUCGUAAGGACAUGUGGAGCGCUUAGAAGUGAGAAUGCCGGUGUGAGUAGCGAAAGACGGGUGAGAAUCCCGUCCACCGAUUGACUAAGGUUUCCAGAGGAAGGCUCGUCCGCUCUGGGUUAGUCGGGUCCUAAGCUGAGGCCGACAGGCGUAGGCGAUGGAUAACAGGUUGAUAUUCCUGUACCACCUAUAAUCGUUUUAAUCGAUGGGGGGACGCAGUAGGAUAGGCGAAGCGUGCGAUUGGAUUGCACGUCUAAGCAGUAAGGCUGAGUAUUAGGCAAAUCCGGUACUCGUUAAGGCUGAGCUGUGAUGGGGAGAAGACAUUGUGUCUUCGAGUCGUUGAUUUCACACUGCCGAGAAAAGCCUCUAGAUAGAAAAUAGGUGCCCGUACCGCAAACCGACACAGGUAGUCAAGAUGAGAAUUCUAAGGUGAGCGAGCGAACUCUCGUUAAGGAACUCGGCAAAAUGACCCCGUAACUUCGGGAGAAGGGGUGCUCUUUAGGGUUAACGCCCAGAAGAGCCGCAGUGAAUAGGCCCAAGCGACUGUUUAUCAAAAACACAGGUCUCUGCUAAACCGUAAGGUGAUGUAUAGGGGCUGACGCCUGCCCGGUGCUGGAAGGUUAAGAGGAGUGGUUAGCUUCUGCGAAGCUACGAAUCGAAGCCCCAGUAAACGGCGGCCGUAACUAUAACGGUCCUAAGGUAGCGAAAUUCCUUGUCGGGUAAGUUCCGACCCGCACGAAAGGCGUAACGAUUUGGGCACUGUCUCAACGAGAGACUCGGUGAAAUCAUAGUACCUGUGAAGAUGCAGGUUACCCGCGACAGGACGGAAAGACCCCGUGGAGCUUUACUGUAGCCUGAUAUUGAAAUUCGGCACAGCUUGUACAGGAUAGGUAGGAGCCUUUGAAACGUGAGCGCUAGCUUACGUGGAGGCGCUG
rnacentral:rRNA from 1 species